rnacentral:rRNA from 1 species
GACGAACGCUGGCGGCGUGCUUAACACAUGCAAGUCGAACGAAGUGGCGAACGGGUGAGUAACGCGUAAUCAACCUGCCCUUCAGAGGGGGACAACAGUUGGAAACGACUGCUAACACCGCAUACUGAAGUAGGGGAUUGCGUCUGAUUAGCUAGUUGGAGGGGUAACGGCCCACCAAGGCGAUGAUCAGUAGCCGGUCUGUGAGGAUGAGCGGCCACAGUGGGACUGAGGAAAGGACCAGACUCAUUCAGGAGGCAGCAGUGGGGAGUCUUCCGCAAUGGACGAAAGUCUGACGGAGCAACGCCGCGUGAGUGAUGACGGCCUUCGAGUUGUAAAGAUAUGUUAGUCGGGACGCGGUACCGGGAUAGAAAGCCACGGCUAACUACGUGCCAGCAGCCGCGGUAAUAC